GCCGCCGUAGCUCAGCUGGGAGAGCACCCGGCUGAAGACCGGGCUGUCGGGGGUUCAAGUCCCCCCGGCGGCA
rnacentral:tRNA from 1 species